GCCGGGGUAGCUCAGCCUGGUUAGAGUGCCAGUUGAUUGGUAAACUCUACCGGUUCUUCCAAAAAAGGCAAUACUCAUAAUCUGGAGGUCGUGGGUUCGAAACCCAUCCCCGGCA
rnacentral:tRNA from 1 species